rnacentral:tRNA from 1 species
GCUUAGAUAGCUUAAAAUAAAGUGUCAACUUGUGGUGUUGAAGAUGUCUUGUCAUAAGGCUCUAGGUA